GAAGGUGAUACUUCCAUGUUAAUUUGAGAAUUGAUAUUGAAUUAUGAGGAUUAUGGGCCUGUUGAUUUGAAGUCAAUGGAAUUGUAAUUUUUCUAAUGGAAUUUAGUAAAUGAAAAAUUUACCAUGAAGAAUAGAUAUUGAAAUUAAUUUACAGCUAUUUGGAUUGUAGGGAAGAAAGGGCAGUUAAAUUCUGGAUUUCCAGAGUACAUCGACGGCUGAAAUUUUGAUAUGGGGUGUAUGUGUAUUGGACAUAGUUCAUAUAAAUUUGGGACCAAUCCAGUGCUUGGUCAUUGUAAAUUGAUUGUGUUUUCUAGGUUGCUAGGUUGGAAGAUUUGAG
rnacentral:misc_RNA from 1 species